rnacentral:rRNA from 1 species
UACAGAGGGUGCGAGCGUUAAUCGGAAUAACUGGGCGUAAAGGGCGCGUAGGCGGAUUGAUAAGAGAUAUGUGAAAGCCCUGGGCUUAACCUAGGAAGUGCAUGUCUAACUAUUGAUCUGGAGUAUGAGAGAGGGUGAUAGAAUUUCCGGUGUAGCGGUGAAAUGCGUAGAUAUCGGAAAGAAUGUCGGUGGCGAAGGCGAUUGCCUGGCUCAAUACUGACGCUGAGGCGCGAGAGCGUGGGGAGCAAACAGG